rnacentral:misc_RNA from 1 species
AAGUCGUAACAAGGUUUCCGUAGGUGAACCUGCGGAAGGAUCAUUAUCGAGUUUGAAGUGGGCCUUUUGAGCUGCGGUCAUAUGUGUGCUCGAGGCCCGCUCCAAUCCACUCAACCCCUGUGCACUUUCGGAGUGGCGAGUGGGAUCGCAAGGUCUUGCUCGUGGCUUCGUCUCUUAUCACAAACCAGUUUUAUUAUUGUCAUGUCGAACGUGGAUGCCUGUAAAGGCGGAAACUCAAUACAACUUUCAACAACGGAUCUCUUGGCUCUC